rnacentral:SRP_RNA from 1 species
GCUGGGCGUGGUGGCUCAUGCCUGUAAUCCCAGCAACUUUGAGAGGCUGAGAUGGGCGGAUCACCUGAGGUCAGGAGUUCGAGACCGGCCUGACCAACAUGGUGAAACCCCAUCUCUA